CGUAGGUGCGAGCGUUGUCCGGAAUUAUUGGCGUAAGAGCUCGUAGGCGGCCUGUCACGUCGGAUGUGAAACCCGGGCUCAACCCCGGGCCUGCAUCCGAUACGGGCAGGCUAGAGUAUGGUAGGGAGAUCGGAAUUCCUGGUGUAGCGGUGAAAUGCGCAGAUAUCAGGAGGAACACCGGUGGCGAAGGCGGAUCUCUGGGCCAUUACUGACGCUGAGGAGCGAAAGCGUGGGAGCGAACAGGAUU
rnacentral:rRNA from 1 species